UACAGAGGGGGCAAGCGUUGUUUGGAAUUACUGGGCGUAAAGGGCGCGUAGGCGGCCUGCUAAGUCGAACGUGAAAUCCCCGGGCUCAACCCGGGAACUGCGUCCGAUACUGGUGGGCUUGAAUUCGGGAGAGGGAUGCGGAAUUCCAGGUGUAGCGGUGAAAUGCGUAGAUAUCUGGAGGAACACCGGUGGCGAAGGCGGCAUCCUGGACCGAUAUUGACGCUGAGGCGCGAAAGCCAGGGGAGCAAACGGG
rnacentral:rRNA from 1 species